AUUGAACGCUGGCGGCAGGCCUAACACAUGCAAGUCGAGCGGAUGAGUGGAGCUUGCUCCAUGAUUCAGCGGCGGACGGGUGAGUAAUGCCUAGGAAUCUGCCUGGUAGUGGGGGACAACGCUUCGAAAGGAACGCUAAUACCGCAUACGUCCUACGGGAGAAAGUGGGGGAUCUUCGGACCUCACGCUAUCAGAUGAGCCUAGGUCGGAUUAGCUAGUUGGUGAGGUAAAGGCUCACCAAGGCGACGAUCCGUAACUGGUCUGAGAGGAUGAUCAGUCACACUGGAACUGAGACACGGUCCAGACUCCUACGGGAGGCAGCAGUGGGGAAUAUUGGACAAUGGGCGAGAGCCUGAUCCAGCCAUGCCGCGUGUGUGAAGAAGGUCUUCGGAUUGUAAAGCACUUUAAGUUGGGAGGAAGGGCAGUAAGUUAAUACCUUGCUGUUUUGACGUUACCAACAGAAUAAGCACCGGCUAACUUCGUGCCAGCAGCCGCCGUAACAC
rnacentral:rRNA from 1 species